CUGGAGCAACUAAUCUUGGUCCUUCCGAGACACGAUCCAAAUUUAGCUCGACCCUCCUGACGUCAACUCGGUAUUAAGCCUGACCUGAGCCCAUGCCAGCCCGAUGGGAGUCCAGCUUUGCCGACAAAGUGCAGCAAGCCCAGGCAGGAGAACACAUGACACCAACAAAUUCCAAGGAAGCUUCUUAAUGAUCGUAUAAGACCGCAAUACUAGCUGCAUCUUAACGGCUAAGUUCACACACAGAGUACAGUACAGGUUUAGCUAGCAAUACUAUACUUACUGCACACACACAUGACCUAGAUUCCCAGUUCAUUUAAAGACCCCACAUGGCAUGGACUCGAUCGACGCAACGACGCACACGGUUCCGGCAGAUUCCCCAAUUCCUCCCCAAGUUUUUAUAAGUCAAGAUCACAUCACCAUACAUGAAUUUAAUGCCCAAAAUCAGGUCAACUUGAAGCUAUUACUACUACGAUGUUCGAAACCAAAGAAAAAAAAAUUAACUAGCUG
rnacentral:lncRNA from 1 species